AAGAAAUAGUUGACACGUUGUACAUCCUGUAUCACUAAAUCCAACUUUCUCAUUACCGAAGUGUCGCCUUUUAUUCAAAUGAAUAUUAUUGACCAAAUGUAUUUCUUAACUAAGAUCAAGGUCGCCACGAUUAUCAAAGGGGGGCUUGCUUAUGGGGAAUUAUUCGGAAAAAAAUUAAUAAUUUGGUAAGAUUGACCCAAAAAAAAUGAGUAGGUUUCCAUGCAGAGGUUAAAGAAUGACAUCGAAACAACUAAAAAUAUACACGGCGUUCCAUUAAAAAAAUCAAUUGUCUAUUGACACCAUAAAAAUGGGACACUCUGUACAUUCAAAAGUGAAUUCUGUAGAUGCGCGAUCAUCUAUAGUUGACAUAUGUACAAAAGAUUUUUUGAAAUUUUGUACCAGGUCUGAGCUAAGACAGACCGACGCACUGUUGCAGAACUCUAUUCUAAAGUUUCCGGAACUUUUAGGAACUGAAUCCCUAUUUUUCGCCUUUCUUCAUCAAACUAGCACGGUUAAUUGUUUUUUUAGUUCACUCAAAACCUUGCGCAAAAUUUAUCUACUGGGUUGUGCCGUCAACUAUCCAAAUUUAAACAACAUUUAUGCUGAUGAGUAAUCCCCACAUUUUUACUCAGUAUAUAGUCUUCUAUUUUUAGUUCCACAUAAUUCUGCCCAUCAGUAAAACGGAUGCGUAUCAUUAAUUAGUACUUCGAUACUAUUGCAUUAACGUUUCCAUUCUAUGGAAAUGGUGAGAAAUAAUAGAACAUUCCUGUCACGAACCUUAUUUCGUCGAAUGUAUGGGAUGAGUUUUUUUGUAGUUAUUAAGCGGAAGAGCAAAGCGAUUAUGCCAUUAUGUUAUGGACGGAGAAGACGUCACGCAAUGUCUAUGAAAGACAACCGAAAGAAACUGCAAGAAACCAUCAGCCGAAAAAAGAUAUUGCUCAUUUAAAUAUUCUACCAUCAUAAAAAUAUAUUGUUUUUAAUCAUUUUUAGGUGUAGGUAUGACAGCGACCAGGAAACUACAAAAUAAAAUUACAGACGUCCAGGCACUAGUUGGCAAAAUACCUUUUACAAUUACCUCGAAGAGUUUGCUCAAAUUGUCAAUAAUCAAAAUUGGACGUUGGAUAGUGCAACCUAAAGAUACGCUGAAAAUUGGAUUACAUUGUAAAACAUGAAAAAAAAGACCCGGCCCGAACGGAACCUCAAUAUAUACAGGUAUACCUCACCUUCAUAAAUAUGGGAAAAUUUCGUGGAUGGUAGAAAACAAUUACGAUUCUGGGAUUUUCAUAAAUUCGUCGGAAUAUAAGACGUUACUUUAAAAGCAUUUCGUACCAACUUAUUGGAAGCAUGUGCGAGUCAAUGUUUGGGAAAUUAACUUUGGUGUAAAUUUCAUCCGAUUAACCCACACUUGCGUUUGUCUCGUAAUUUCCAAAGACUUUCAAUAUGGAAGAUUUCAAGGAAUUUUAUUAUGGUAGAUUAUAUGCAUAAUACAUAAGAGCGUUCUAGACAACUUUGCAUCUUGAUGG